GUUUUUGCACUGCUUUUCACCCUCGUUACCGUUUCCUUUUCCCCAUAGGUGAAGGCAAUCCCCAGUCACUAAUCUUUGUUCUUUGCCGCUCGGCCUCUCCGGGUGACUUUGCCAAAACAUUAACAGCAAUUAAUACUAGGAGGACUAAACAGAGCAGAUGUUCUGUAAUCCCACACCAAAAGGCAACCUGGGAAUGUUGGAAGUUCUGCAGCCAGAAGUGUUACCCAGACGUAUUUAGAGGAUUUGGACCAUCUGGGCCUUCCUGACAACCAUGACCCCGCUGGGGCUCCUCAUCAUCUGCAGGUGCACGGCAGACCCGAGGAAAUCUGCGUGAGGAGAGCAUAUCUUGUAUGCCUGGAGAUACAGCAGCUCUGCUAAGGAGCUACCCCUGAGCCACUCUCCUGGAACCUGCUGCACAGCACAAGGAAUGAAAGAAGAGCUUCUGCAUUGCCUAAACAUAGAAGAACUGCUGCCCCGUUAAGGCCAUUUCAUGCUAUCUCCAGGGCAUGCCAACGGUGACCAUUCAAUGGUGGCAGGGUAAGAACAAGGUAAGCUUACAGCAGUGCCUCACCUGAGCACCAGUCCAUCUUCUGAGGAUCUGCUGUUGGGUGAUCUGUGCCAGAGGCGAUGUCCUUGUGCCCCUCUGCUGAGCUGCUCCAGGAGGAGAGGGACCCGAGUCCUGCCUGGGGAGAUACAAACAUCAUCGUAACUCUCGCCCUUUUGCAAAUGCAGUGUUGGUGUUGAAAAGCUCGACCUUGCGCUGCCCCACGGUCUGACAUUGAUACCAAGUGCGAUAGCUUCCACUGAGUAACCAGAACAGACAUGGCUGUGGAAAUCCCAGAUUAACAAAUUCUGAUUAAAAAAACCCCACCAUAGUCUCAAUGGCAUGCAUGUGCAGCUGGACUAAGAUUGCCAAUGGCUGUGAGCUUUCAGCAAAAAGGGCUGUGACAUCUCUCAGUGUAUGGAGCUCUAAUUACAGCGGUCAAGGACAGAAGUCCCUUUCUCUUUUCUGCCCCAUUCCCUAAGACUUUUCUCAUGCCCCAACACUCUC